GAUGAACGCUGGCGGCGUGCCUAAUACAUGCAAGUCGAGCGAACAGACGAGGAGCUUGCUCCUCUGACGUUAGCGGCGGACGGGUGAGUAACACGUGGAUAACCUACCUAUAAGACUGGGAUAACUUCGGGAAACCGGAGCUAAUACCGGAUAAUAUAUUGAACCGCAUGGUUCAAUAGUGAAAGACGGUUUUGCUGUCACUUAUAGAUGGAUCCGCGCCGCAUUAGCUAGUUGGUAAGGUAACGGCUUACCAAGGCGACGAUGCGUAGCCGACCUGAGAGGGUGAUCGGCCACACUGGAACUGAGACACGGUCCAGACUCCUACGGGAGGCAGCAGGAGGGAAUCUUCCGCAAUGGGCGAAAGCCUGACGGAGCAACGCCGCGUGAGUGAUGAAGGUCUUCGGAUCGUAAAACUCUGUUAUUAGGGAAGAACAAAUGUGUAAGUAACUAUGCACGUCUUGACGGUACCUAAGCAGAAAGCCACGGCUAACUACGU
rnacentral:rRNA from 1 species